rnacentral:misc_RNA from 1 species
GAGCGGGAAGCUGAGCAUUUUGUGUAUAUUAGUCGGCCUUCAGUUCAGGAGGCUGCAGUGGCUCUAAUGCACUAAGAAUUUUGGUCAACUUGCCGGUUUUAUACCACGGCAACCAACAUUUGGCUUUGUUAUAGCUGCCUUUUUUUUUGCUGUAGCAAUAGAUAUUUGCCCUGAGGAAGUGAAUUCAGGAAAUAUGAUGUUACCGUAUACAAAUAUAUGUAUUUUUUUCAUAAGUUUUCAACAAGCUAGGAGUGGAUUGAUAAUCAAUCAAUGUAAUGCUUUUUAUGUAUUUUAGCAAGAACUUCUUUUUGUCCAAUUAUAUUGUAUACAGCAGCGGUUAUUUUAUGUGAAAUUGUA